AAGAGGACGGACACUGAGAGAUGGUGAGACAAGCCCUUUUAUUAGUGAUUGGGAUAUUUUCCUCAGGCACUAAGAAAGGGUUUCUUUCUUCAUCUCAAAACGCAAAGCCAUUCAU
rnacentral:precursor_RNA from 12 species